CAGCAGCCGCGGGAAUACGGAGGGUGCAAGCGUUAAUCGGAAUUACUGGGCGUAAAGCGCACGCAGGCGGUCUGACAAGUCAGAUGUGAAAUCCCCGGGCUUAACCUGGGAACUGCAUUUGAAACUGUCAGGCUGGAGUCUUGUAGAGGGGGGUAGAAUUCCAGGUGUAGCGGUGAAAUGCGUAGAGAUCUGGAGGAAUACCGGUGGCGAAGGCGGCCCCCUGGACAAAGACUGACGCUCAGGUGCGAAAGCGUGGGGAGCAAACAGGAUUAGAUACCCCUGUAGUCCCUGUCUCUUAUAC
rnacentral:rRNA from 1 species